CUUCUUUGGUGCAGGUUGACCCCGACCCUUCUGGACUACAGAAAGCUGGGGUGGAUGGCCAACAAACUUCUCCCACCUCGACUGUGCAGGUUGACCCCGACCCUUCUGAAGUACAGGAGGAUGUGGUGGAUGGCCCGCAAACUUAUCCCACCUCGGCUGUUAAUUCCAACCCUUCUGUAUUACUGGAGUUUGUAGUGGUUAUCCAGCAAACUUCUCCCACCCCUACAGCUCACAGCCUGCAGUGAGGGGCAGAGCUGCAUCCCAGUAAGUGAUGAAGACCACAGCAGCAACAUGGGACACCUGAAGAGAGUGAAGCUUGAUGCAGGACUGAGGCAGAAGCUGCAGGACAUGUAUUGUACAGUGUAAUUACACUGUACAAUACAAACACAACAAAUUACUUAUUCUGUAGUUACUGUUUAACUACCAGGUACCUAUUCUAGUAUGUACGAUCUACUGUGCAAUAAUAUGGCAAUUUGGGAGGAAUUCAAAUUAUUUAAAUUAUUAUUAUUUAACUACUAGGUACCUGUUAUGUUAUUGCACGGUAGAGUAUGACCAUUAAACUGAGCAAAAAUCUGGAUGUUUCAGGGAAGAUGGAGUGUUGAUUUCUGCAGCACUUAAUAAAUCUGACAUGAUUUUAUUUCAAAAUGACCUUAUUACCGACAAACAUCUCCAGCCUGGACAGCAAACCAUCUACUGUUCAUGUCCACUCUGUCGCAGUCUUUGGGAGAAAUGUCCUUGUUGCCUGAGCAGAUCUGGCUGUGAUUCCUCUGUUCUUUUUCUCAGUAUUAAUGUGAAAA